GAGUUUGAUCAUGGCUCAGAUUGAACGCUGGCGGCAUGCCUUACACAUGCAAGUCGAACGACGCUAGGGGCAACUCUAGCGAGUGGCGAACGGGUGAGUAAUACAUCGGAACGUGUCCUGUCGUGGGGGAUAACCAGUCGAAAGACUGGCUAAUACCGCAUGACCUCGCAAGAGAAAAGCGGAGGACCGCAAGGCUUCGCGCGAUUGGAGCGGCCGAUGUCGGAUUAGCUAGUUGGCGGGGUAAUGGCCCACCAAGGCGACGAUCCCUAGCUGGUCUGAGAGGAUGACCAGCCACACUGGAACUGAGACACGGUCCAGACUCCUACGGGAGGCAGCAGUGGGGAAUAUUGCACAAAUGGGCGCAAGCCUGAUGCAGCCAUGCCGCGUGUGUGAAGAAGGCCU
rnacentral:rRNA from 1 species